rnacentral:rRNA from 1 species
UACGUAGGGGGCAAGCGUUGUCCGGAUUUAUUGGGCGUAAAGAGCGUGUAGGCGGCCAGGUAGGUCCGUUGUGAAAACUAGAGGCUCAACCUCUAGACGUCGAUGGAAACCAUCUGGCUAGAGUCCGGAAGAGGAGAGUGGAAUUCCUGGUGUAGCGGUGAAAUGCGCAGAUAUCAGGAAGAACACCAAUGGCGAAGGCAGCUCUCUGGGACGGUACUGACGCUGAGACGCGAAAGCGUGGGGAGCGAACAGG